AACGAACGCUGGCGGCGUGCCUAACACAUGCAAGUCGAGCGCGAAAGUCCCUUUCGGGGGGCGAGUAGAGCGGUGGACGGGCGAGUAAUACAUGGAUAAUCUUCCUUCGAGCCCGGGAUAACACUGCGAAAGUGGUGCUAAUACCGGAUAAGACCACGUCACUCAGGUGAUGCGGGAAAAGGUGGCUUUGUUUUCGGAUGAGGCUAUCACUUGUUGAUGAGUCCAUGGCCUAUCAGCUUGUUGGUGAGGUAAAGGCUCACAAAGGCUAUGACGGGUAGCUGGUCUGAGAGGACGACCAGCCACACUGGGACUGAGACACGGCCCAGACUCCUACGGGAGGCAGCAGUGGGGAAUAUUGGGCAAUGGGCGAAAGCCUGACCCAGCGACGCCGUGUGGGCGAUGAAGGCCUUCGGGUUGUAAAGCCCUGUUGGGUGGAAAGAAGGACCUGUUGACGAAUAAUCUUCAGGUCUUGACGGUACCACCAGAGGAAGCACCGGCUAACUCCGUGCCAGCCGCCGCCGUAACAC
rnacentral:rRNA from 1 species